rnacentral:RNase_P_RNA from 1 species
GAGGAAAGUCCGGGCUCUAUUUAUAGUAGUUUAGUUGUAUAAAAUGCAGUGUAGGUGACUAUGAGGAUCGUGCCACAGAAAUAUACCGCCUAUAUUUAGGUAAGGGUGCAAUGGUGCGUUAAGAGCGUACCAGAAAUAUUGUUAAGAUAUUUGCUAGGUAAACCCCGUAUUGGAGCAAAGUGAUAAGUUAAUAGCAAAAGUUUGUCUAUAAAUUUUGUUUAUUGCAAUAUAUAAAACAUAAAACUAGCUUAUUUAGAUACUGCUUAAAGUAAUUUUAUACUUUAGAUUAAUAAUUACCCUUUUUGAAUUGCAGUAGCAAAAAAUUGUUUAUUUCAUUAAAGAACAAAACCCGGCUUAU